CCCUCGGUGGUUCAGUGGCAGAAUGCUCGCAUGCCACGCGGGCGGCCGGGGUUCGAUUCCCGGCCGACGGA
rfam:Toxocara canis scaffold88, whole genome shotgun sequence.